rnacentral:rRNA from 1 species
GCCAGUUCAUGCUUUUACAGUAUGAAAAUUGGUGAUUUAUAAUAACUUAGCAAAUCGCAAAGUGAAAACAGGCGAUAAAUCAUUCAAGUUUCUGACCUAUCAGCUUUCGACGGUAUGGUAUUGGCUUACCGUGGCAGUGACGGUUAACGGGGGAUUAGGGUUCGAUUCCGGAGAGGGAGCCUGAGAAACGGCUACCACAUCUAAGGAAGGCAGCAGGCGCGCAAAUUACCCAAUUCUAACAGUUUGAGAGAGGUAGUAACAAGAAAUAACAAUACAAGGCAGUUAAAAUGCUUUGUAAUUGGAAUGAUAGAAAUUUAAACCCUUUUUAAAGUAUCAAUUGGAGGGCAAGUCUGGUGCCAGCAGCCGCGGUAAUUCCAGCUCCAAUAGCGUAUAUUAAAAUUGUUGCAGUUAAAAAGCUCGUAGUUGAAGUUCUGCUGAAAGUAACCGGUCUGCUUUUAAUAAAAGUGGUAUCUUGGUAUGUAUUUAGCAAUGAUGUCCUUUGAAGUGUUUUUUACUUUAUUGUAAUAAAGCAUAUUCAGGACUUUUACUUUGAGAAAAUUAGAGUGUUUCUAGCAGGCUGACGCUUUGAAUACUGCA